rnacentral:rRNA from 1 species
AGUGCAAGAGAGGACAGUGGAACUUCCAUGUGUAGCGGUGGAAUGCGUAGAUAUAUGGAAGAACAACCAGUGGCGAAGGCGGCUGUCUAGCUUGCAACUGACGCUGAGGCUCGAAAGCAUGGGUAGNGAACAGGAUUAGAUACCCUGGUAGUCCAUGCCGUAAACGAUGAGUGCUAGGUGUUGGAGGGUUUCCGCCCUUCAGUGCCGGAGCUAACGCAUUAAGCACUCCGCCUGGGGAGUACGACCGCAAGGUUGAAACUCAAAGGAAUUGACGGGGGCCCGCACAAGCGGUGGAGCAUGUGGUUUAAUUCGAAGCUACGCGAAGAACCUUACCAGGUCUUGACAUCUUGCGCUAACCUCAGAGAUGAGGCGUUCCCUUCGGGGACGCAAUGACAGGUGGUGCAUGGUCGUCGUCAGCU